CAGAAGAAUUGGUUUCAGUCUCAUUAAUAGGAAAAUUUCCCCUUAUACUGAGCAUUAAGAAGGAAUUUCCAAAACACUGAAAGCUGUUCCACCCAACCGGCAGUGUGAUCUUCAUCCUGGCAAGGCCACCCUGCCUAGAGGUGAUGGGAAAUCUAGAUUCUCUUGCCUUUGGCUAUGGUUUUGGAUGAAAAGAUGAUCUUCUGGAGAGAAUCUAAAUGUGUGGUGCCUUUGUAAGAUCAGAAAGUCCUUCAAAACAGAGGACACUUCCCUGUAGAAGAACACCCUGUCCAUAUGGCCCUUCCAAUGGAGGACUGGUCUAUGUAAAAUAGGACACAUGGCUGCCUUGCCCAGUGAGCUUCAUAGCCAAAUAAUAGCAUUUGAAUGAACAUUUUGCCUGCUGCUUCAGGAAAGGAACUUACAGAACUUUGCCUCCCCUCUCUCCCAACCCUUGUACCAGUGUCUACUGUAGUCCCCACUGGUACAGAGGAUGGAAGGGUGGGUGGCGCAGAAGUAUGACCCAAAGAGAACCAAGCCGCCUCCCCGCUUGGAUGACCUCUCUAAACCAAGACAGAACCAACUCUCAGAUCCCCACUUCUCUUUGCUGAAAGCAGAUGACACAAAGGUUUUUUGAUGUUUUUAAAUAGAGGCUGGAUGGCCUUCUGUCAGGAGUGCUUUUAAUGAGUAUUCCUGCAUGGCAGCAAGUUGGACUUCAUGGCCCUUGAGGUUUCUUCCAAUUCUGCGAUUCUAUAAUUCUAUAACCACAGUCUCUGCUGUUUGUAUAGCCUUUGCUUUUGAAAUUUUCAUAAUGAUUUUCUUCUGAAAUCAUGUGUUCAAUAAAAUCUUCUGGACUAUCACAAUCUGAUGGGUUUUAAUUAUUUGCAAUUAAAGAGAGAGAGAGAAUUAACUUUUGAUUUUUUGGUUACAAGGUUGUGCUGGCGGCUUUGUCCAGACAUGGAAUUAUUAAAAAUGAAAAGGGUGCAGUGAUUGCAAAAGGGCAGCUUAUACCUCUAUAACAGAGGACCCCUACCCAAAGUUAGCAGAUUUUUGAUGUCAUGAAAAGGCACCAUAUUUUUUGCUCUUUAAUUUGUUAUUAUAUCUUUACCGCCAGAGAGGGAAACAGUUGCAUGUGGGACUUCCUUGGGAUCAAAAUAGCUUUGCUUACUCAAGCUAAUAUGUAUCUUCAUUUAAUUAGAAAAGGGGCAUCUGCUGUUCUGCCUCAGGUAGAAAAAUAUCAUAGGCUGGUGCAAUAGUAUCAGAAUCUAGAGAAAAUGAUCAGUUGUAGCUAUUUUAAACUAUCCUGUUAAUUGCUUCUUAACUGUUAAAAAAGUGUUUGACACCCACUAAACCACCAUUAAAAUAUUUAACACUCCUAGCUUUUCCAAAGCUGGCACUGAAAAGGGAUCUGAAGAAAGAGCACACAGAUUCCAAAGCUAAGUGGGGAUUAAUGGCAAGCUUGGCUCAAUUCUCACACUUGCAAACCAUUAUAUCCUUCUUCAAACAUGUCCAAAGGGCGGUAGCUGUGUUAGUCUGUUGCAAGCAAAACCCACAGGGAGUCUUGUAGCACCUUCAAGAUGAACAAGUUUUAUUUGGCAUAAACUUUGGUGGAAGUGGGCUGCCAUCCAAGAAACCUUAUGCCAAAUAAAACUUGUUAGCCUUUCAGGUGUCACAGAUCUUCCUUGUUUUUCCUUCUUUCAAGUAGCCGCCUGUUAUUUCUUUCCCUUGUAAUGUGCUGCCAUCCAGAGGUCCUUUUAGGGAAAUGGCAUAGGAUAGUUAUGGACAGAGAAUACAAACCUAGACAGAUGCAGAUCUGAUUGACUUAACUUUCUGUUAAAUGUGAAUACAUUUGCAAGUUCAAAGGUUAUUGGAACAUAAUUGGUGCUUGCUGCCAGUAAUGAACUUGUUCUAUAUGUAGCAUAGUUUUAAAAGCACACAGUGAUUACUUAUAUAUCAAAUUAAACAAUCAACAUAUUAUUAAAAUGUAAGGAGUAAUUUGGAGUUGAAGGCACAUAACAAUAAGAUUGAUUGUUGAAUCUGAUAUAUUUCAAUUGUUAAUACAGUCAGCGUCAGUAUCCAUAAAUAUUUUUAUCCACGGAUUUUAUCUCCCAUAGCUUGAAAAUAUUUUUUAAAACUAUAAAUCCCCAAAAACAAGCAUUGAUUUUGCUAUCUUAUGGUGCGAGACAGACCGCACCAAAAGGGUGGCCUGCUGGCGGCCUAAUUCCCUCUGGAGGGAAGCUGCAGCCGCCAACCCAUGUGGCUUCCCUCCGGAGGAAAAAGAACCCAGAAAAAAUGGGUUCUUUUUGCGCCGCAGGGUGGACGUUAUGAGUGCACCAAUGACGCACUCACGAUAUAGGUGAUGCAUGGGGCUGUGCAGAUGCCCGCAGCACUUACAUCACAAUGACGCUGGCGUGUACGCAGGAUGCCACCAUUGUUACUCCGCCACGCUGUGCUAGGUUUAGGGAGCGUGCAGUUGUUGUAUGGUCCCUAAUUCUAAACUUGAUGCCAGCACGGCACAUUUGGGUGAUCUGUACAGUACCAUAAAUAAUGGAUAUAAUUUUACUGUGCCACUGUAUUUAAUGGGACUUGAGCAUCCAUACCUUUUGUUAUCCACAGGACAUCCUGGAACCAAACCCCAGUGGAUACUGAGGGCCUACUGUAUUAGAUGUAAAUGUUACUUAAUAAUACAGAUCAUCAAAAAUCAAACCAGUUGGUUAAACUUGUUUACAUUUGCAGCCAAUUAGAUGUGGAAAGGAUUUUUAAGUUGAUGGGUGCUGUACUUACUUUAUUGAUGUGCUUUUAAAUUUUUCAUAUUUCAGUUGUGUUUUAAUAUUACAAUUUUAAAAACUGUUUUAAUAUUAAAUAUUUUGUGAUUUUAUCUGUACCUUUUUUUGCUAUCUAAUCCUGGUAUGAAUGUGUUUGAAUUCCAGAUUUGAAAGAAAAGUAGCAUGGAAAUGAAAUAAAUACACAGAUUUUGAAACA